rnacentral:rRNA from 1 species
GGAAUUUUCCGCAAUGGGCGAAAGCCUGACGCAGCAAUGCCGCGUGAGUGAAGAAGGCCCUCGGGUCGUAAAGCUCUUUAUCUUCGGGAAGAUGAUGACGGUACCGAAGGAAGAAGCACCGGCUAACUACGUGCCAGCAGCCGCGGUAAUACGUAGGGUGCAAGCGUUGUUCGGAAUCACUGGGCGUAAAGGGCGUGUAGGCGGAACGAUUAGCGAGGGGUGAAAUCCCGGGGCUCAACCCCGGAACUGCUCUUCGAACUGUCGAUCUAGAGAAGAUCAGGGGCCGGCGGAAUUCCUGGUGUAGAGGUGAAAUUCGUAGAGAUCGGGAGGAACAUCGGAGGCGAAGGCGGCCGGCUGGGGCCAUUCUGACGCUGAGGCGCGAAAGCGUGAGGAGCAAACAGGAUUAGAUACCCCAGUAGUC